UCUGUUCCUCUUGUGGAGAGGGAACGAGUCCUUCAUCACCUAUAAACUACACACAACGGUUGCUAAAGAAAAGAAAGAAAGAAAAAAAGUAAUAGCAAUAAUAACUAUAAAAGAAUUACCUACCUAAAGGAGAGACAUGGACCUUUUAUUAUCCAUUAUGAAGAAGAAUGAGUGUGAAGGAGGAAGACAAUACAUAACGACACCACUUGGAAUUGGGCGGUGAUAAAUUGGCGCUUUCAAAUCCAAUUCCACACAAGUCUGCAAAGCCCUUUUUCUUUUUCUUUCCAACAAAGAAGGAAGGAAAAUGAUAAACCCCAAAAUAACUACCACCACAACGAAUACAAAUAUAAAAACAGCGUUUCUUUUCGUCUCAAUUUCUAAAACCGCAAGAGAAAUAAAAGAAUAUCCUCUUUGUUUUCUCACAACAGUCCCCAGAAGUUUCUUCCUUCACACAUCUCCAAAGUUAUCCUCCUUCUCAUCUUUCAAGGUUAGUUCUCUCUCUUCAAUGUCAUCAAUU
rnacentral:lncRNA from 1 species